UGGGGAAUUUUGGACAAUGGGCGAAAGCCUGAUCCAGCAAUGCCGCGUGUGUGAAGAAGGCCUUCGGGUUGUAAAGCACUUUUGUCCGGAAAGAAAUCCUUGGCUCUAAUACAGUCGGGGGAUGACGGUACCGGAAGAAUAAGCACCGGCUAACUACGUGCCAGCAGCCGCGGUAAUACGUAGGGUGCAAGCCGUUAAUCGGAAUUACUGGGUGUAAAGCGUGCGCAGGCGGUUUGCUAAGACCGAUGUGAAAUCCCCGGGCUCAACCUGGGAACUGCAUUGGUGACUGGCAGGCUAGAGUAUGGCAGAGGGGGGUAGAAUUCCACGUGUAGCAGUGAAAUGCGUAGAGAUGUGGAGGAAUACCGAUGGCGAAGGCAGCCCCCUGGGCCAAUACUGACGCUCAUGCACGAAAGCGUGGGGAGCAAACAGGAUUAGAUACCCUGGUAGUCCACGCCCUAAACGAUGUCAACUAGUUGUUGGGGAUUCAUUUCCUUAGUAACGUAGCUAACGCGUGAAGUUGACCGCCUGGGGAGUACGGUCGCAAGAUUAAAACUUAAAUGAAUUGACGGGGUCAUAGCUGUUUCCU
rnacentral:rRNA from 1 species